CGCCGUCCGGGUCAGCAGUCUAAAGUUUGCCAAGUGAAGCUGCAGCCGGUGCUGCCUGCGCUCGCUCGUCGGCCCCAGACCGCCGGCUCGCCGCCCGCUCUCUCCGACGUGACGGUAACCCGGGGCCAGUGCCUUCCCAGGUCAGCCGCUGCGCCGGAAGGCGGAAAUGCUCAAAAUGUCUUCCAACAGUUACGAGGUUUCUAUCCCAAUGUCGAGAAAAACCAACGGCAUUCCGGGGACAGGCUCUAAGGACCUGGAGAUGGCGACUCCAGGAGAUGUGUUGAGUUUUCAUAACAUCUGCUAUCGAGUAAAAGUGAAGACUGGCUUUCUACUUUGUCGGAAAACAAUUGAGAAAGAAGUACUAACAAAUAUCAAUGGAGUCAUGAAACCUGGCCUCAAUGCCAUUCUGGGACCCACAGGUGGAGGCAAAUCUUCGUUGUUAGAUGUCUUAGCUGCAAGGAAGGAUCCACGUGGAUUAUCUGGAGAUGUUUUGAUCAAUGGAGCACCUCGACCUGCCAAUUUUAAAUGUAACUCAGGUUAUGUGGUACAAGAUGAUGUCGUGAUGGGAACUCUGACAGUGAGAGAAAACUUACAGUUCUCAGCAGCCCUUCGGCUUCCAACAACUAUGAAAAAUCACGAAAAAAAUGAACGGAUUAACAUGGUUAUUCAAGAGUUAGGUCUGGAUAAAGUGGCAGAUUCCAAGGUUGGAACUCAGUUUACCCGUGGUGUGUCUGGAGGAGAAAGAAAAAGGACUAGUAUUGCAAUGGAGCUUAUUACUGAUCCAUCCAUCUUGUUCCUGGAUGAGCCCACAACUGGCUUAGAUUCAAGCACAGCAAAUGCUGUCCUUUUGCUCCUGAAGAGGAUGUCUAAACAAGGACGGACAAUCAUCUUCUCCAUUCAUCAGCCUCGUUAUUCCAUCUUCAAGUUGUUUGAUAGCCUCACCUUGUUGGCCGCAGGAAGACUGAUGUUCCAUGGGCCUGCUCAGGAGGCCUUGGAUUACUUUCAAUCCAUCGGUUUCCACUGUGAGCCCUAUAAUAACCCUGCAGACUUCUUCUUGGACAUCAUUAAUGGAGACUCUUCUGCUGUGGUGUUAAAUAGAGAAGACACAGGUGAUGAAGUCAAUGAGACCAAAGAACCUUCCAACAAAGAUACUCCACUCAUAGAAAAAUUAGCUGAGUUUUAUGUCAACUCCUCCUUCUUCAAGGAAACAAAAGUUGAAUUAGAUAAACUCUCAGGGAGUCAGAAAAGGAAGAAGCUUUCAUCCUACAAGGAGAUCACUUAUGCUACCUCCUUCUGUCAUCAGCUCAGGUGGAUUUCCAAGCGUUCAUUCAAAAAUUUACUGGGUAAUCCCCAGGCUUCUAUAGCUCAGAUAAUUGUGACAGUCAUCCUGGGACUGGUUUUAGGUGCCAUUUUCUAUCGUCUAAAAAAUGAUCCUUCAGGAAUCCAGAACAGAGCCGGGGUGCUCUUCUUCCUGACGACCAACCAGUGUUUCACCAGUGUGUCAGCCGUGGAGCUCCUGGUGGUGGAGAAGAAGCUCUUUAUACAUGAAUAUAUCAGUGGAUACUAUAGAGUGUCAUCUUACUUCUUUGGAAAACUGUUAUCUGAUUUACUCCCCAUGAGGAUGUUACCAAGUAUUCUAUUUACUUGUAUAACAUACUUCCUAUUAGGACUGAAACCAAAGGUGGAGGCCUUCUUCAUCAUGAUGUUUACCCUGAUGAUGGUGGCUUAUUCAGCUAGUUCGAUGGCAUUGGCUAUAGCAGCAGGUCAGAGUGUGGUAUCCAUAGCAACUCUGCUCAUGACCAUCUCUUUUGUGUUUAUGAUGAUAUUUGCAGGGCUGUUGGUAAAUCUCAAAACCGUCGUGCCUUGGUUGUCUUGGCUUCAGUACUUGAGCAUUCCUCGCUACGGCUACGCGGCUUUGCAGCAUAAUGAAUUUUUGGGACAAAACUUCUGCCCAGGAGUCAAUGUAACAACAAACAAUACCUGUAACUAUGCAACCUCCCACUAAGGCAUACCUGAUAAUUUGACGUGCGGGUAAUGUCUUAGAGCCGAACAUCUAUGAUACUCAUUCCAGUCUUGGUGUAAGAGCUGACAGAGUGCAACUCUGAUGUACUGGCGAAGAAUUCCUGACAGACCAGGGCAUAGAUAUCUCGCCUUGGGGCCUAUGGAAGAAUCACGUAGCCUUGGCAUGCAUGAUUAUUGUCUUCCUUACAAUUGCCUACCUGAAAUUGUUAUUCCUUAAAAAAUUUUCUUAAAUUCCUCUUUAAUUUCAAUGAUUUACCCCCCAUUAAAAAGGGACAUCUUGAUUUUCAUAUCCAGUAAAGUUUUUUUGGUUGUUUUCAUC